CGUCGUCCCCGUCGUUUUGGUCCGCUCGGCUCGCUAAUCCGGUCCCCGAUGGACGGAGUGGCCAGAUAGCUUUGGUUGGCCUUGAGGAGUUGCAGAGGUGAAGUCAUAAGGGUUGGAGAGCGUGUCCUGCUAGUCGGUUGUAGGAUAGUUCCCAUUUCGUCGAGCUGGUCUAUUUUGUAGAAAGUCCAGUGUUGUAUUUAAACCCUUUGUGUUUGUAAAUGGGUGUUUGGUAUUGUGAUUGA